GGGAUAACACCGGGAAACCGGUGCUAAUACCGAAUAUUGAAACAUAAGUGGCAUCACUGAGUUUUGAAAGAAUUUCGGUGGAGGAUGACUUCGCGGCCUAUCAGCUAGUUGGUGAGGUAAUGGCUCACCAAGGCAACGACGGGUAGCCGGCCUGAGAGGGCGACCGGCCACACUGGGACUGAGACACGGCCCAGACUCCUACGGGAGGCAGCAGUGGGGAAUAUUGGGCAAUGGAGGAAACUCUGACCCAGCGACGCCGCGUGCGGGAUGAAGGCCUUCGGGUUGUAAACCGCUUUCAGUAGGGAAGAAGCGAAAGUGACGGUACCUACAAAAGAAGCACCGGCUAACUAUGUGCCAGCAGCCGCGGUAAUACAUAGGGUGCAAGCGUUGUCCGGAAUUAUUGGGCGUAAAGAGCUCGUAGGUCGUUUGUUACGUCGGAUGUGAAAACCUGAGGCUCAACCUCAGGCCUGCAUUCGAUACGGGCAAACUAGAGUUUGGUAGGGGAGACUGGAAUUCCUGGUGUAGCGGUGGAAUGCGCAGAUAUCAGGAGGAACACCAAUGGCGAAGGCAGGUCUCUGGGCCAAUACUGACACUGAGGAGCGAAAGUCUGGGGAGCGAACAGGAUUAGAUACCCUGGUAGUCCAGACCGUAAACGGUGGGCACUAGUUGUGGGAACCUUCCACGGUUUCUGCGACGCAGCUAACGCAUUAAGUGCCCCGCCUGGGGAGUACGAUCGCAAGAUUAAAACUCAAAGGAAUUGACGGGGCCCCGCACAAGCAGCGGAGCAUGCGGCUUAAUUCGACGCAACGCGAAAACCUUACCAAGGCUUGACAUAUAGGGAAAAGUGGCAAAGAUGUCAUGUCCGCAAGG
rnacentral:rRNA from 1 species